CUUGGUCUUAACCUUCUAUUGUCUAAACUCAAUAUUUAUACAUGCACGCCUCAACACAACAGUGAAACAGCCCACCACAAUGCCACAUGGAGCCGGUAUCAGGUAACUCACCCACAACACCAAGCAAUCUCAAGCCACACCCCCACGGGCCAGCAGCAGUACUUAAUAUUAGGCCAUAAGCGCAAGCUUGACCAAAUAACAGACACCCCUUUAGAGCCGGUUAAUCUCGUGCCAGCGACCGCGGUUACACGACAGACUCAAGACAAUACUAUCGGCGUAAAGCACGACUAAAACUUACACGUCCCAGUAUUAAGGAUAAAGACCCCUGGGCUGUAAAAAGCCAUAAGCUACACCAACCACAUAACCCUAAUACCAAAACAGCUUCGACUCGUGAAAGCCAGGAUACAAACUAAGAUUAGAUACCUUACUAUGCCCGGCCAUAACAAAAUAAUCAAACAACCAAUUAUUCGCCAAAUAACUACGAGUAAAAACUUAAAAUUUAAAAGACUUGACGGUACUUCACAUCACCCUAGAGGAGCCUGUCCAAUAACCGAUAAUCCACGUUUAACCCAACCAGCUCUAGCCAAACAGUCUAUAUACCGCCGUCGCCAGUUUACCUUGUGAAAGAAACAAAGUAAGCCUAACAGCUACCCCGCUAACACGACAGGUCGAGGUGUAACUAAUGAGCCGGAACAAGAUGGGCUACAUUUUCUAACAUAGAAAAGACGAACAGACCAUGAAACUAGAAACUGAAGGCGGAUUUAGCAGUAAGCAAGGAAUAGACACACCCAACUGAAACCUAUGCAAUGAAGUGCGCACACACCGCCCGUCAUCCCUGUAAAACACACAACCCAUCCAUAAUCCAACCACUAACUUAAAGCAGGGCAAGUCGUAACAAGGUAAGCGUACU
rnacentral:ncRNA from 1 species